GCCUUGAGCAGCAUAGGUGAGCGGAUCCUGCUGGGCUCAUCGACCAGGCCACGUGGGGUCACUGAGGGUCAGCCUUCAGGACAGGAGGGAUUCCUCAGGGAGACAACCUGAAUCCCCACUGGUCCCUCCGUUCGGGGUCCCUGACUUCCCACAACACUGGUCUCUUGCACUGAGCUUUGCGAGCUCUUCUGCCCAGGGGGACCCCGGCCUUAAGUGGGAUAGAUGGUGACCCCAGAGGAAAACGUGCAUUGGGUGCACUGGCCCCAGGCCAGUGUCUCUCAGCCAUGUGCUCAACCCCUGGUGAGCUGAAGCUCAGGCCCUUCCUGGCAUCCUGGUCUCCUGCACUGAGCUGUGGGUUCAGUGGCUGAGAGAGCAUUGGUUGCCCUG
rnacentral:antisense_RNA from 1 species